GAAUGAUAACAGCAGCAUUCACAGUGGAUAGGAAAGCCUGUGGAGACUGAGUUCACUAAUGAGAAAUCUUUGUCAACAUAAGAAGGACGUGGAUCUCUUGGAACAAGCCCAGAGGAGGGCCACAAAGAUGAUCAGAGGGUUGGACCACCUCUUCUCUGAAGACAGGCAGAGAGAGUUGGGGUUGUUCAGCCUGCAGCAAACUCCAGGGCAACCUUAGAGCACCUUCCAGUACCUAAAGGGGGCUACAAGAGAGCAGGAGAGGAACUUUCCACAAGGACAUGUAGAUAUGGAACAAGGGGCAAUUCCUCCAAACUCAAAGAAGGAACUGAUGAAAAUCAUUGCAAUGUUUCCAUGAGAAUGAAUUACAAGAUGAACAAAAACAGCAGGAUGUCAAGUUUCACCUAUUUCACAUGACAGCAAAUCAUGAGUAUUAGACACAUUUUUAUCUACAGCUCUCUUCAAGACUCUCUUGACACUUGACUAUAACAACAGAUCUUUUAAAAAGAAGAAAAAGCCUGGAAGUCACCACUGGCAGUCAACCACUAAAUGUGAUUUUUAUUUCCUCUCAUCAGGCGGAGAACCAAUAAGUCAUCUAUGAAGCUGAAACCAGGAAUUCUCUUAUAUUCCAUUUAUACAACCUAUGCACACUUCAGUUAGGGUCUAGUGGCAUAAAUAGGUUUGUAGAAGACUGUAAGACUUCAUAAAAUAAACACUAGGGCAAAGAAUGUGUGUAUAUUAUGGAGCUUUUAGAAAGAGAAGGAAAAGAAAAUUUUAUUUUGUAGCACUUCUCAACUUACUCAACUUGAGAAAUCCCUGUUUUUUGAAAAAAUUAUAGGAGUUUUUACAUUUUUAUAACCUUACUCAUUUAAAUUUAUGGGACUUGUUGGACAGUACUGCUAAUUAUUUUCCUAUCAGAGGCUUCUGCACUCUAACUGGCAGAAUUGUAGUGAGUGCACACAUAGAAAGGGUACUUGGGUGUGACCAAGGGGAGAGGUAGAAAAUAUAACACAAAUGCCCAAAGACCCAGUUCACAUAAUGGAAAGGCCUUAAAUUGAUUCCAUCAACACAGAAAAUACAAAGCCCAUAAAAACCCUGUCUGGAUGAAAGACUCAAAUUGUCUCACUUUACUGUGGCCAUUCUGGGAAUGUGUCCAAAACAAGGAAUACAGCUUCUCACACUACCAUUAUCAGUACUUCAGGUGCAGAUCUCCACAAGCUUCAUAACCAAUACUCACUGUACUUUUACUGACCCUCUUCCAUUAUAUAAUUUCCUCCUUACUCUGCUGUGUGUUGUACAACUACUUUGACCUAAAGGAUUUGCAGAAUUGAAAGAUCGUGAAGCCUGAGUUUUUCUGCAAGUGGCUGGAGGAAGAAAAGGUAGACAAAUGCAGAAGAAAUGCUACUUCUCAGAACCAGAAGAAAGGUUGCAGAAAAUAAUACAUAUAAUCAUCUCAAGUGAUUGACCUUCUGCUAACAUCGUACAUUUCAUUGGCUGACUUGUUUAAGGCCUGGUUUGCUUAAAACAGCUGGUCAAGAGACACAUGAUCAGGCAGGCCUCACUCAAGAGGAAGGAAGUUUAAAAUGCUGCUGUUAGCACAGGGCAGCAUGUACAAAGAUUCUUCUUAUUAGGCCACUUGCAGAAGUGAGCCCACAUGGGAAAGUUUCAUCAGAACAGAAGCUAGACAGUGCUCCUGAAUUCCGAAAAAUCCGUUUCCAUUUUAGUAAAUCUAGCAAGAGAGAAUAGACGGAGAAUUAAGUAACUGGUGCUGGAAGAUUAGCUGACUUUUUCAUCCUCCAAAUGGCAUGAAUUUAGGGAGCACAUCUAAGCCUGAAAAAUGGGCACUUUACUGAAUAACAUACACAAGUUAUUAUAGUGCAUAAUAGUGAGAAAAAAAAAAACAUGAAAACAGGUCAGAUGGCUUUGCAGUAAGAGGACCCAUACCUCAUUAUGGAAAAAGGCACCAGAUAUCUCUCAGAUGUGAUCCCUCCUUCAGGGUUUUCUGGAUGGAUAGUAUGGUCUUUAAUUGUCUCUUAACCAUGGUAAGGACCUGGUUCAAUAAAGCCUUUCUCAGAAAUCAGUUCCUUUUUAUACUCCUCCAGUGUACAGGAGUAUAAAAGUUUUGGCUGUGAUAGAGUUGAUUUUCUUCAGAGAAGGUUGUAUGCAACUGUGUUCUUCAUUUGUGCUGAAAAUAGUGUUGAUAAUAAAGUUUUACUUACUGCUGAACAGUGCUUACACAGGGCAAGGACUGUAUAUCCUAAAACAGGCUGCUAUUUAUUCCAAACUGAACAGCAAUGAGCUCAUCACAACAAAUAAAAACCUUGUUCAGGA